rnacentral:rRNA from 1 species
GAUGAACGCUGGCGGCGUGCCUAACACAUGCAAGUCGAGCGUGAACCGUCUGAAUGAAACUUCGGUCGAGUGAGGAUGGGGAAAGCGGCGGACGGGUGAGUAACGCGUAGGCAACCUGCCCCGUACAGAGGGAUAGCCUCGGGAAACCGGGAUUAAGACCUCAUAAUACCAUUAUCUCACAUGUGAUAAUGGUCAAAGAUUUUAUCGGUAUGGGAUGAGUUCGCGUCUGAUUAGCUGGUUGGCGGGGUAACGGCCCACCAAGGCGACGAUCAGUAGCCGGCCUGAGAGGGUGAACGGCCACACUGGAACUGAGACACGGUCCAGACUCCUACGGGAGGCAGCAGUGGGGAAUAUUGCACAAUGGAGGGAACUCUGAUGCAGCGACGCCGCGUGAGUGAAGAAGGUCUUCGGAUCGUAAAACUCUGUCCUUGGUGAAGAAAAGGACGGUAGCCAAGGAGGAAGCCCGGCUAACUACGUGCCAGCAGCCGCGGUAAUACGU